rnacentral:rRNA from 1 species
CCUACGGGAGGCAGCAGUGGGGAAUAUUGCACAAUUGGCGAAAGCCUGACGCAGCGACGCCGCGUGAGGGAUGAAGGUCUUCGGAUCGUAAACCUCUGUCAGCAGGGAAGAACGGUCACUGUGCUAAUCAGCAGUGCAUUGACGGUACCUGCAAAGGAAGCACCGGCUAACUCCGUGCCAGCAGCCGCGGUAAUACGGAGGGUGCGAGCGUUAAUCGGAAGUACUGGGCGUAAAGCGCGAGUAGGCGGUAUGUCAAGUCAAGGGUGAAAUCCCCGCGCUCAACGUGGGAACUGCUUUUUAAACUGGCAAACGUGAGUGUGUGAGAGGAUAGUGGAAUUCCAGGUGUAGGAGUGAAAUGCGUAGAUAUCUGGAGGAACAUCAGUGGCGAAGGCGACUAUCUGGCACAUAACUGACGCUGAGGAGCGAAAGCGUGGGUAGCAAACAGGAUUAGAUACCCCUGUAGUC